AGCGAACGCUGGCGGCAGGCCUAACACAUGCAAGUCGAACGAACCUUUCGGGGUUAGUGGCGGACGGGUGAGUAACACGUGGGAACGUGCCUUUAGGUUCGGAAUAACUCAGGGAAACUUGUGCUAAUACCGAAUGUGCCCUUCGGGGGAAAGUUUUAUCGCCUUUAGAGCGGCCCGCGUCUGUUUAGCUAGUUGGUUGAGGUAAUGGCUCACCAAGGCGACGAUCAGUAGCUGGUCUGAGAGGAUGAUCAGCCACAUUGGGACUGAGACACGGCCCAAACUCCUACGGGAGGCAGCAGUGGGGAAUCUUGCGCAAUGGGCGAAAGCCUGACGCAGCCAUGCCGCGUGAAUGAUGAAGGUCUUAGGAUUGUAAAAUUCUUUCACCGGGGACGAUAAUGACGGUACCCGGAGAAGAAGCCCCGGCUAACUUCGUG
rnacentral:rRNA from 1 species